rnacentral:rRNA from 1 species
GACGAACCGAGCGAACGUUAUUCGGAAUCACUGGGCUUAAAGGGCGCGUAGGCGGGCCGUCAAGUCCGGGGUGAAAGCCUCCAGCUCAACUGGAGAAGUGCCUCGGAUACUGGCGGCCUCGAGGGAGAUAGGGGCGUGCGGAACUUCCGGUGGAGCGGUGAAAUGCGUAGAUAUCGGAAGGAACACCGGUGGCGAAAGCGGCGCGCUGGAUCUCUUCUGACGCUGAGGCGCGAAAGCCAGGGGAGCGAACGGG